GACAGUCUGGGCGCUGUGGGCUGAGGUAGUAGUUUGUAUAGUUUUAGGAUCAUACCCGAUCUCGGAGAUAACUAUACAGCCUACUGUCUUUCCCACGGCG
ensembl:miRNA mirlet7g-1 microRNA let-7f-2